AGAGUUUGAUUAUGGCUCAGGANNNACGCUAGCGGCAGGCUUAAUACAUGCAAGUCGUGGGGCAGCACAGGUAGCAAUACUGGGUGGCGACCGGCAAACGGGUGCGGAACACGUACGCAACCUUCCUUUAAGCGGGGGAUAGCCCAGGGAAACUUGGAUUAAUACCCCAUAAGACAAUGGUGUGGCAUCACACAGUUGUUAAAGCUCCGGCACUUAAAGAUGGGCGUGCGGCUGAUUAGGUAGUUGGCGGGGUAACGGCCCACCAAGCCGACGAUCAGUAACUGGUGUGAGAGCACGACCAGUCACACGGGCACUGAGACACGGGCCCGACUCCUACGGGAGGCAGCAGUAAGGAAUAUUGGUCAAUGGACGCAAGUCUGAACCAGCCAUGCCGCGUGGAGGAUGAAGGCCCUCUGGGUUGUAAACUUCUUUUAUUGGGGAAGAAACCUGUUUUUUCUAAAGCAGUUGACGGUACCCGAUGAAUAAGCACCGGCUAACUCCGUGCCAGCAGCCGCGGUAAUACGGAGGGUGCAAGCGUUAUCCGGAUUCACUGGGUUUAAAGGGUGCGUAGGUGGGCAGGUAAGUCAGUGGUGAAAUCUCUGGGCUUAACCCAGAAACUGCCGUUGAUACUAUCUGUCUUGAAUGUAGUGGAGGUGAGCGGAAUAUGUCAUGUAGCGGUGAAAUGCUUAGAUAUGACAUAGAACAUCUAUUGCGAAGGCAGCUCGCUACACUAUUAUUGACACUGANNCACGAA
rnacentral:rRNA from 1 species